UCUGAAAUGGCAGAAUUUUAUGCGUUAAAUUUAGGAUUUAAUUAUGAUUAUCUUUCAGGG
rnacentral:tRNA from 1 species